rnacentral:pre_miRNA from 1 species
CAGCAUAGCUCUGUAAUUUCGGAAAACAUCCGAAAUUACAGAGCUAUGCUGUUCU